rnacentral:rRNA from 1 species
UAAGUCCCGCAACGAGCGCAACCCCUAUUGUUAGUUGCCAUCAUUCAGUUGGGCACUCUAGCGAGACUGCCGGUAAUAAACCGGAGGAAGGUGGGGAUGACGUCAAAUCAUCAUGCCCCUUAUGACCUGGGCUACACACGUGCUACAAUGGUUGGUACAACGAGUUGCGAGUCGGUGACGGCGAGCUAAUCUCUUAAAGCCAAUCUCAGUUCGGAUUGUAGGCUGCAACUCGCCUACAUGAAGUCGGAAUCGCUAGUAAUCGCGGAUCAGCACGCCGCGGUGAAUACGUUCCCGGGCCUU